rnacentral:rRNA from 1 species
AGAGUUUGAUCAUGGCUCAGGAUGAACGCUAGCUACAGGCUUAACACAUGCAAGUCGAGGGGAAACGACAUCGAAAGCUUGCUUUUGAUGGGCGUCGACCGGCGCGACGGGUGAGUAACGCGUAUCCAACCUGCCCACCACGUUGGGGAUAACCUUGACGAAAGUAAGACUAAUACCCAAUGAUAUCUCUAGAAGACAUCUAGAAAGAGAAUUAAAGAUUUAUCGGUGAUGGAGUGGGGAUGCGUCUGAUUAGCUUGUUGGGCGGGGUAACGGCCCACCAAGGCAACGAUCAGUAGGGGUUCUGAGAGGAAGGUCCCCCACAUUGGAACUGAGACACGGUCCAAACUCCUACGGGAGGCAGCA